rnacentral:rRNA from 1 species
UGCAGUCGAGCGGACAGAUGGGAGCUUGCUCCCUGAUGUUAGCGGCGGACGGGUGAGUAACACGUGGGUAACCUGCCUGUAAGACUGGGAUAACUCCGGGAAACCGGGGCUAAUACCGGAUGGUUGUUUGAACCGCAUGGUUCAAACAUAAAAGGUGGCUUCGGCUACCACUUACAGAUGGACCCGCGGCGCAUUAGCUAGUUGGUGAGGUAAUGGCUCACCAAGGCAACGAUGCGUAGCCGACCUGAGAGGGUGAUCGGCCACACUGGGACUGAGACACGGCCCAGACUCCUACGGGAGGCAGCAGUAGGGAAUCUUCCGCAAUGGACGAAAGUCUGACGGAGCAACGCCGCGUGAGUGAUGAAGGUUUUCGGAUCGUAAAGCUCUGUUGUUAGGGAAGAACAAGUACCGUUCGAAUAGGGCGGUACCUUGACGGUACCUAACCAGAAAGCCACGGCUAACUACGUGCCAGCAGCCGCGGUAAUACGUAGGUGGCAAGCGUUGUCCGGAAUUAUUGGGCGUAAAGGGCUCGCAGGCGGUUUCUUAAGUCUGAUGUGAAAGCCCCCGGCUCAACCGGGGAGGGUCAUUGGAAACUGGGGAACUUGAGUGCAGAAGAGGAGAGUGGAAUUCCACGUGUAGCGGUGAAAUGCGUAGAGAUGUGGAGGAACACCAGUGGCGAAUCUG